rnacentral:rRNA from 1 species
AGUAUAAGCAAUCUAUACGGUGAAACUGCGAAUGGCUCAUUAAAUCAGUUAUCGUUUAUUUGAUAGUACCUUACUACUUGGAUAACCGUGGUAAUUCUAGAGCUAAUACAUGCUAAAAACCCCGACUUACGAAGGGGUGUAUUUAUUAGAUAAAAAACCAAUGCCCUUCGGGGCUCCUUGGUGAUUCAUAAUAACUUAACGAAUCGCAUGGCCUUGUGCCGGCGAUGGUUCAUUCAAAUUUCUGCCCUAUCAACUUUCGAUGGUAGAGUAGUGGUCUACCAUGGUUUCAACGGGUAACGGGGAAUUAGGGUUCUAUUCCGGAGAGGGAGCCUGAGAAACGGCUACCACAUCCAAGGAAGGCAGCAGGCGCGCAAAUUACCCAAUCCCGACACGGGGAGGUAGUGACAAUAAAUACUGAUACAGGGCUCUUUUGGGUCUUGUAAUUGGAAUGAGUACAAUUUAAAUCCCUUAACGAGGAACAAUUGGAGGGCAAGUCUGGUGCCAGCAGCCGCGGUAAUUCCAGCUCCAAUAGCGUAUAUUAAAGUUGUUGCAGUUAAAAAGCUCGUAGUUGAACCUUGGGCCUGGCUGGCCGGUCCGCCUCACCGCGUGCACUGGUCCGGCCGGGUCUUUCCUCCUGGGGAGCUGCAUGCCCUUCACUGGGUGUGUCAGGGAACCAGGACUUUUACUUUGAAAAAAUUAGAGUGUUCAAAGCAGGCCUAUGCUCGAAUACAUUAGCAUGGAAUAAUAGAAUAGGACGUGUGGUUCUAUUUUGUUGGUUUCUAGGACCGCCGUAAUGAUUAAUAGGGAUAGUCGGGGGCAUCAGUAUUCAAUUGUCAGAGGUGAAAUUCUUGGAUUUAUUGAAGACUAACUACUGCG